GGGCGCUUAGCUCAGCGGUAGAGCGUCUCCUUUACACGGAGAGGGUCGGGGGUUCGAAACCCUCAGCGCCCACCA
rnacentral:tRNA from 3 species